AGCAGCCGCAGUAAUUCCAGCUCCAAUAGCGUAUAUUAAAGUUGUUGCAGUUAAAAAGCUCGUAGUUGAAUUUCGGGAUCAGUACGCUGGUCGUGCCUUUGGUAUGUACUGGUGUCACUGAUUCCUCCCUUCUGAAGAACCGUUAUGCCAUUUAUUUGGUGUGGCGGGGAAUCAGGACUGUUACUUUGAAAAAAUUAGAGUGUUUAAAGCAGGCUCGCGCUUGAAUACAUUAGCAUGGAAUAAUGAAAUAGGACGUUUGAUCUUAUUUUGUUGGUUUCUAGGAUCGACGUAAUGAUUAAUAGGGAUAGUUGGGGGCAUUAGUAUUCAAUUGUCAGAGGUGAAAUUCUUGGAUUUAUUGAAGACUAACUACUGCGAAAGCAUUUGCCAAGGAUGUUUUCAUUAAUCAAGAACGAAAGUUAGGGGAUCGAAGACGAUCAGAUACCGUCGUAGUCUUAACCAUAAACUAUGCCGACUAGGGAUCGGAUGAUGUUAUUUUAAUGA
rnacentral:rRNA from 1 species